GGGAGACUCCGGAUGCCAGACGCGCUCGGCGGCGGCGGCGGCGACCGCGCCUGAUUCAUUGCGCCAAAGCUGCAGAUGCGACCUCCCGCCUGCGCCCGGUGCCCCGGCCCGCGCCGGGCCGCGCGCGCGCCUGGAGAGAUGGGGCUGCGGGGUGGGGGGGGACCGCGCAAUUUGUAGGCGCUUUCCUCUCCCCACAAAAGGCGGGCCCUGGCCCCCCGGGGCCAGGUCCCCUGUCUCCAGCUCCCCGGGCUGCGCUAAUUAGCUUUCUCCGGGGGCGCCACGCGGCGUGAGGGGCGGCAAUUUCCCGGCUGGGCUGCGGGGGAAGCACUCCUGCCGCCUGGGAAGGUGAAAUGGGAAACUCGAUUCAAAGAGAGCGUUCCUCCCCCCCCCCUCCCGCCAAGCUCCGUAGAAAACGGGUUUGAAAUUCCUCCUCCUUUUUUUUUUUUUUUUUUAUUUAUAGUGCACGGUCUCCAUGGCAACCGCGGAGGAGGUCACGGUAGCUGGGCCCCCGCGCGUCACCCCGCGCCUCGCCGGCUGCAGGCGCCCGGAUUGCGGCCUCCCAGGCGCCGUGGCCCGCGUGGACCCAGCUCUGAGUUCUCCGCCCCCGCUCCGCCCUGCCAGAGACUCAGGCCCCAUACCAUAUGACUCUGCCGGGUCCCAGCCGGGAAUAUCGCACCUGGGCACCAGUGCGCUAAGCUAUGCCUCUGUCCCCGGGCUCUGGCACGCGGGACUGCGCCUCGAAACACGUGUCCAACCCCGGGAUGGGAACAUGUGCGGCAAGACGCCACUGAGGGCCUCAGCACUUGUGGAUGCCCUAGGGAAUCGACCUGGAUUGGCGCACCACUCUGGAGCUCUUGCCAAGACGGCACCACCCGUGGCUAAGAAGGCUGACUGUGGUGUCAGAACCGAACGUUCCUAAUGAUUUACUAGCUGUGUGACUUUAAGCAAGUUACAACCUUUCUGCGUCUCAGUUUGUUCAUCAGAGAAAUGGAAUUGUUGUGAGACUAAAAAGUCC
rnacentral:lncRNA from 1 species